rnacentral:rRNA from 1 species
AUACGUAGGUGGCAAGCGUUGUCCGGAAUUAUUGGGCGUAAAGCGCAUGUAGGCGGUAAUUUAAGUCUGUCGUGAAACUGCGGGGCUCAGCCCCGUAUGGCGAUGGAAACUGGGUUACUUGAGUGCAGGAGAGGAAAGGGGAACUCCCAGUGUAGCGGUGAAAUGCGUAGAUAUUGGGAAGAACACCGGUGGCGAAGGCGCCUUUCUGGACUGUGUCUGACGCUGAGAUGCGAAAGCCAGGGUAGCGAACGGGAUUAGAUACCCCGGUAGGCCUGGCCGUAAACGAUGGGUACUAGGUGUGGGAGGUAUCGACCCCUUCCGUGCCGGAGUUAACGCAAUAAGUACCCCGCCUGGGGAGUACGGCCGCAAGGCUUAAACUCAAAGGAAUUGACGGGG